GAUGAAGAACGUAGCAAAAUGCGAUAAGUAAUGUGAAUUGCAGAAUUCAGUGAAUCAUCGAAUCUUUGAACGCACAUUGCGCCCGCUGGUAUUCCGGCGGGCAUGCCUGUUCGAGCGUCAUUUCAACCCUCAAGCCCCCGGGUUUGGUGUUGGGGAUCGGCUCUGCCCUUCUGGGCGGUGCCGCCCCCGAAAUACAUUGGCGGUCUCGCUGCAGCCUCCAUUGCGUAGUAGCUAACACCUCGCAACUGGAACGCGGCGCGGCCAUGCCGUAAAACCCCAACUUCUGAAUGUUGACCUCGGAUCAGGUAGGAAUACCCGCUGAACUUAAGCAUAUCCAAUAAGCGGAGGA
rnacentral:misc_RNA from 1 species